UACGUAGGGACCAAGCGUUGUUCGGAUUUACUGGGCGUAAAGGGCUCGUAGGCGGCCAACUAAGUCAGACGUGAAAUCCCCAGGCUCAACCUGGGAACUGCGUCUGAUACUGGAUGGCUUGAGUUCGGGAGAGGGAAGUGGAAUUCCUGGUGUAGCGGUGAAAUGCGCAGAUAUCAGGAGGAACACCGGUGGCGAAGGCGGGUCUCUGGGCCGAUAUCGACGCUGAGGAGCGAAAGCGUGGGGAGCGAACAGG
rnacentral:rRNA from 1 species